CUAGCUGGUAGCCAACGUCCAGAAUGGUUCGGAGUGCUAAGGGUUAACUUACCUAUCGCGAGGCACGCUGAACCAGUAUUCAGGUCGCAGCUUCUUCUUUCCGUAGCUCAUGAUGGGCGUGGACCGCGGGAUCUUCUUAUCCUUUGGUCUUCCGGUGCGCAGUCUCAGGUACAAUGGUGGAUCCUCGCAGGAACGGGCUGGUCGCGGUAUAAGUUCUAUAUAAUUCGACAGAAAGAAGUGACUUCAAUUCGCCAUAUAUAACACAUCUCCAAUUCGGCCAAAAGAUCAUUCUAUACAAUAUUUAUGGCGCGGAGACAGAUCUCCUCGUGUGGUAUGCGCAGAUUCGUUUACCAGAAAAGAAAGAGGAAAAUAAAUUCGUAAGAAGCUUUUUUCCCGUAGAAUAUCAAGCGUUACAUUCGGAGUUAAUUACUUGGAAGAAUUCAUCGUCAUAGACGCACAAACACAAAAAUAGUACAGGAGCACAAUGUGUGAUAUGGAUUUGGGAUCGCAGAUGAGACGAAGCAAAUUUUCAAUCCCACAAUGUUACAAGACAACAUCAUCGCAGAAGGUACAUGAAAGAGAAGAGUGUGUAUCAAGUGACAAUAGUGUCGUGGCGAGUGCUCGAAAUCGGUGACCAGUAGUCAGUAGCAAGUAUACCAAUAAUACAUAACACAGGUAAAGUACACAAUGUGCAGGUGCAACGGCAAAAUCGAGCGCAAAAUGGGAGGGGAGAGUUUCGUGGAUUGCACGAUAAACAACGUAUACUUCAAGGUAACGAUACGGUGAGGAAUAAUGGCCAAGUAACGAAUUGAAUCAAACGAAACAUAUACGUGGACGAAAGAUAAGAGACGCGACACAGAGCAUCUCUGCUGAACAUCCAUCUUAUCUCGCCCGAACUCCUCUCUUCGCUUCGAAGACAAUUCAUUGUGGGAGACUUCUAGAAAACUCGGCAGGAACAUAAAAGAAUCGUCGGACUACAAAAUCUUUGUCUACCAAUCCGCAGAACAGUCUCCUGUUAAAUUGUUUAUCUUCUUAGAUCAGUUCUAACAAAUCUUAAGAUGCCGCUGAGCUCGAGAGUGUCAGAAACUGUACGCAGAUGACAAUUUCAAAAGAGCUGUUUAUGGUUCCUCUGUGUUUACUUUCUCACAGCAUUGUUACCUCAAAGUCUACCAGAAGUUGGGAACCAAUGACAAUGUGCGAGCUCUAGCGAGGAUGUGAUACACGAGAGGUAGAAAAUAAGCAAGCUAAUACUGUAUGAACCUACCGAGGCCUUCGAGUUCGGGAAAAUUAGGUGCUUGGACUAGAGGGACAACAAAAACAUAUGACAUUACUGCAUUAGUAUGAAUAAUCGUCGGCAGACUAACGGGCGAAACCCCUUGCGUUCCACAGUUGUAACAAUUACUCUCUAUCAGAUUUAGAAUAUGAAUCAGAAUUUUCGAGACGACAAGUAUGCGAUUCGAGUGGAGCAAGAGGUUUCAAUAUCUUGGAGAUACGACAACGUCUCCGCUUAAUUUAACAACAAUGAGAAAGAGAUAAUGAAAGAAUAUUAGGCCUGGACUCUAGGUGUCUAUCGGGACCGUUAGAGUCUAGGCCCAGAGAUCACGACCAAAAGAACUGUUCCCCGAAUCUGUGUCAAGCGUUUGAAAUUCGAAAAUCGCUUGAAUCCAAGGGACAGCACAGAUAAAAGUAACGAGAGAUUAAACUUGAUAAAAAUGUAGAACUGGUAAUGACUAGACUGCGGGUUUUAUUCGUUCGUGAUGUUUUCAAUUUUAAUAUCUGAUACACAGUUUUCUUUGAUGCCUGGUACCGUAGAAACACCAUUCCAUAAAAAUCAAUAUUUACCAUAGUUCAUUAAUCAAUAGCUCAUUAAUUUUUGCACUCUGUUGUAAUCACUGGUUUCUAUUUUCGUAAAAUAUUUAUAGCGCUUCUAAAAGGUAGAAGACAAAAGGUUAAACUAAAAAUAGUUUUAUCGAUUCUCUUCUUCAGUGAUGAAAUUGAAAACCGAGAAAUUGACUGAGCUUGCGGUUGUCUUAAAACUCGUAAAAUCUGCAGUAUAGUAAUGACAAACGAGCGAAAUUUGAAAAUAUAGAAAAUAUCGAGACUACGUUAACAUAUACUAAAAAAUGCAAGCGCAUUUGGUCACGGAUUCGUUGGAAUAUUUUUCUGCUCAGAGAUGGAUAAAUGUAAUUCUUCACUGGUUUCUGCUACUACUGUUUAGAAAUCGAAUCCAAAGGCGCUCAAAAAUUCGAAGAAAGGGAUAAUAAAUGCACUAGCAAAGUAACAGAUCGUUUAAGAAGCCGUCUAUACAUACGAGCGAGUGCAGUGCGUGAUAUGUAAUAUUCCCGUUUGCCAUCUUUAUUGCCAUUUCGUUUUUAUGUACUCGUGGCUACGUGUAAUUAAUUACAGUAUCGUAUCGAUCCCUUGGAAACGAAUACUCGUUACCACGGUGGCGUGUUUCUUGUAUACUGGGCGAUUUUAAGACAGUAAGAAAAUAUUUCAGAAAGAAACCCCGUUUAGGGUUAGGUAUAACUAUCGCCAGAAUCAAUUAAAUUGUAAAAUUCUAUAUUAGUUGUAGUUUUAAUUUUAAUUUUUCAACAGUUUACAAUUGUAAAAUCAUUUUCUUUUGAUCUAGUACGAUAACGAUCCCAUGCACAGAAAAUACGCCAUCUAAAAAAUGUUUAGUAUACAUGGUGUUCCACUUUUGUGUGUAAACUGAUCCAUCUUAGCAAAAAUGUUUGAAUUACAAAAAUUGCACAAAAUUAAUUGUACACUGAACAGUGUAUAACAAAUGACUGGAAAAUACAAAAUUCACAUGUCUCCUUCAAAUAUCUUUGAAACAAAAAUCUGUUCUUCAAUUGUUAUCUGUUGCAUUUGAAUUAUUUAAUGCAUUUAGUAUGGUCUAAAUAAAUCAAUUCAAUCAGCAUUACCAAAAUGCAUCAGCUCCGAGUCUAAAAAGCAGAGUACCUGUAUAAGAGAAACAGUAGUUGAAGUAGAGGGAACCUGAUCAACAAGUUCAGAUACAUACUGUCAAAACUGACGAACAGUUCAGGCAUGUCGUCGACAGAGACCAUACUACGGUAGUCCAAUCGUGGUGCCGCUGUUGAAGUUUUGCUACCUCGGCUGCUGUCAACGCUGCUGCUGCCCGAGGAUGUUAAUGGCUGUUGUCUGAUGAAUGUGCCAACAGAGGAUCGUCUGAAAGGAAAUCAUACAGCCAAGUUACGGACUUGUCUUUGAGUACGAUCUGCUGCCACAUUCGAAAGUACAAGCACCAGCUGAUGCCUAUAAUUUCGACACGGCAAUUAUGUUGCAACACAUAAAUAGUAAAGAACAUCGAACUCGUGGUGGGGUAAGGGAUGACAACAUUCAAAAAGGUAAACUUCGUAUCAUCCAACGCAUUGUACAGCGAAAUAAGGUAUAGGUGGCUGCUCGGGGGUUUUUAUACUAUACGCUGUGUUCGAUAUCUGGUGGUGAUGUGUUGUUUGUAAGCAGUAUUUUAUAUAUUUAUAUAACAUAUUUAUAGAUACAUGUAUUCGUAUAAAUAUAUGUAUAUAACAUA